rnacentral:misc_RNA from 1 species
UUUUUUUUUUUUUUUUUAUAAAUUAUGUUGGAUCUCUUUUAGUUUUUUACAUUAGAAUCGGGUUGAACUGUGAACUGGAUGGAAAUCAUAGCGAAUGAAACUAAAUGGUUUCCAACUACAAUUAGUCUGAACUAUGAAGCCGGUUCAUAUGGCCAGGUGUAUUCUUACUUAUUGCUUGUAUAUAAUCAGUGAGGGUUGUUGAGAUGUAUUUUUGCAUUUUAACAUCAAAGGUUUUUUGUUGGUUCUAAAGUUUAUUCCGAAAAUAAUGGAAAAACAAGAUUUUUUCCCUCCUUUGAGAGGACAAGAAAACAUGUUUCUUGACUGGAAUUACAAGAAUUUGGGGUGCAAGUUUAGCUACAGGAACAAGAAUAAAUAAAUGUAAUUGUUUUUAUGAACCUGUAGUCUAACAAUGGCAUAUCAUCCCCUAGAUGAUCUUCAAACCUGCUCUUGCGAUUUCAAGUAAAAUUCAUUUACAAAAGUUGUUAUGCAAAAUGCUUUAAUGCCAUUCAAAUGUCGGUGCUGGGGAAAAAAGACCGAACGAUUGAUUAUUACUAUCAUAGAUAAGCAAGAAAAAGUGCAGAGGCUGAUGUUUGUAUAAGGUUCGUAUUUUUUUUUCUCCCUUUACAAUUAUAUGAAUAUACAUGAUGCAUAAUAGCUUCGUUCACAUUACGGGUCCAAAGAGAUGAGAUUUUAGUGGCCAGCUGUAGACAGAGAAAAGGAGCAAAUGGGUACUCAACAACUCAUUGAAAAUGACCAUCAUUACCAAUUGAAUUUACCAUCAAUCUCCAUCAAAUGGGAUGGAAUCAGUACCAUAGUUGUCUGUUUGUAUAUUUCAUCUAUGCGAACUACGGUACACUUCUAGUUAAAAUUGAAGAAAGAAACACAAAAAGAGAUCAUUUUUUCAAGAUCACAAUUUAUGGAAAAUAAAGAUCACAAUCAGAAUCACCAAUCCGAAGAUCUCCCACAAGUCCUGCUCUUAAAACCAACCCCAGUUAUGGCGGUUCUUGGAGAGCAUCAAUUUUCAUCAAACAAAUAUCAGUUCUUGAAAGCAUGGGAAUCGCCGCUUCCUCUUUACCAGUUCCUCACCAAAUAUGCCAAUUCUAUCCAAGCCAUUCUCUGCUCUGGUGCUGCUCCUGUCACUGACGACCUACUCCAGUUACUUCCCUCGGUGAGAUUAGUUGUCGCUGCCAGUGCUGGUACCAACCACAUCGACCUAAUGGCCUGUUGCCGACGGGGAAUUUCGGUCACCAAUGCCGGGAACGUGUUUUCGGACGACGGUGCGGACGCUGCGGUGGGUUUGUUGUUUGAUGUUUUGAGAAAGAUUUCCGCUGCUGAUCGGUACGUGAGGCAGGGCCUUUGGGUCAAGAAAGGGGACUAUGCUCUUGGUUCUAAGCUGGGAGGGAAGCGAAUUGGGAUAGUUGGAUUGGGAGGCAUAGGCUUACAAGUUGCUAAAAGACUGGAGGCUUUUGGCUGCAUUAUUUCUUACAAUUCAAGAAAGAAAAAGACGUUUGUUUCAUACCCAUUCUAUUCCAAUAUUUGUGAACUCGCAGCUGAUAGUGAUGCUCUCAUUAUUUGUUGUGCCUUGACGGAUCAAACCCGCCACAUGAUCAACAAGGAAGUCUUGAGUGCAUUAGGAAAAGAAGGAGUCAUAGUUAACAUUGGACGUGGAGCUAUCAUUGAUGAGAAGGAAUUGGUGAGGUGUUUGGUGGAAGGAGAGAUUGCGGGUGCAGGGUUGGAUGUGUUUGAGAAGGAGCCUGAUAUUCCUAAACAGCUCCUUGAAUUGGAAAAUGUUGUUUUAUCUCCCCAUAAUGCUGUCUUUACACCCGAAUCUUUCCUGGCUUUGAGUGAACUUGUGGUGGGGAAUUUGGAAGCUUUCUUCUCUAACUUGCCGUUACUUUCUCCAGUCAUGGAUGAAUGAGUUGAUGGUCAGAGCAAAAAUGGUUUGGCUUUUUGUGGAAAAUGCAGCAAAUGGUACAUUUUUUUCCAUCUUUUUGAGAAUUCUUUUUGGCGUGCCAAUAAAGAAAAUCUCAUUUUUUGUUUCACAGAAUACAGGGUUUGGCCGGCAUUUAACUUCAGGUACUUUUUUUUUUUUUUUUUUUUU